rnacentral:rRNA from 1 species
GAUGAACGCUGGCGGCGUGCCUAAUACAUGCAAGUCGAGCGAACAGAUGAGGAGCUUGCUCCUCUGACGUUAGCGGCGGACGGGUGAGUAACACGUGGAUAACCUACCUAUAAGACUGGGAUAACUUCGGGAAACCGGAGCUAAUACCGGAUAAUAUAUUGAACCGCAUGGUUCAAUAGUGAAAGACGGUUUUGCUGUCACUUAUAGAUGGAUCCGCGCCGCAUUAGCUAGUUGGUAAGGUAACGGCUUACCAAGGCAACGAUGCGUAGCCGACCUGAGAGGAUGAGAGGAACGAAGAGGAUAGAAGCACGGUCUCGACGCCGACGGGAGGUACUAGUCGAGAAUAUUGUGCAAGGGGCUAAAGUUUGAUCAAGCAAUAGGGAGUGAGUAAAGAAGGUGUGCUGGUUGUUAAACGGUUUAAUUAGGAAAAAAAAAAAAUACAGUUAGACGUUGUCAUAGAGACGUUACCAAGAAAUAAAGAAACGGCUGUCUUCGGU